AUUGAACGCUGGCGGCAGGCCUAACACAUGCAAGUCGAGCGGAUGAUGGGAGCUUGCUCCUUGAUUCAGCGGCGGACGGGUGAGUAAUGCCUAGGAAUCUGCCUGGUAGUGGGGGACAACGUUUCGAAAGGAACGCUAAUACCGCAUACGUCCUACGGGAGAAAGCAGGGGACCUUCGGGCCUUGCGCUAUCAGAUGAGCCUAGGUCGGAUUAGCUUGUUGGUGAGGUAAUGGCUCACCAAGGCGACGAUCCGUAACUGGUCUGAGAGGAUGAUCAGACACACUGGAACUGGGACACGGUCCAGACUCCUACGGGGGGCAGCAGUGGGGAAUAUUGGACAAUGGGCGAAAGCCUGAUCCAGCCAUGCCGCGUGUGUGAAGAAGGUCUUCGGAUUGUAAAGCACUUUAAGUUGGGAGGAAGGGUUGUAGAUUAAUACUCUGCGAUUUUGACGUUACCGACAGAAUAAGCACCGGCUAACUCUGUGCCAGCCGCCGCCGUAAAAC
rnacentral:rRNA from 1 species